GUGCUCACUUCAGCAGCAUGUGUACUAAAAAUUGGAAUGAUACAGAGAUUAGCAUGUCUCCUGUGCAAGGAUGAUACACAGAUUCGUGGAGUUACGUAUAUUCAG
ensembl:snRNA U6 U6 spliceosomal RNA